GGAGCCUGUUGCAUCAAGGCCUGGGGUGGCAGGUGCUUUCCCAGGGGCUGUCUGCUAUGUGCCUGUGCCAGCCCCUUGUCCUGCUGGGCUCUGCCCAGGGAGCAGGGCAGCCCAGGUCUCCCAAAACUCUGCCCUGCAGGCUUCACACAUACCCAGCCGCCAUGUCUGCAUUCCACAUUAUUAGCAGGAUUGUGCUCAGGACUGCGGGAGGCAGCGGUUCUUGUCCAAGAGGGUGUUAUGGAUUUGCGGCAGGGGACCUGUGGCAGUUGGUACUUGAUGAUGAUUACUGCAUCCAAAGAUGCACAAAUGGUAGCUGCCUAUUCCCAGAGUUGGGUGUCACCCCGAGCAGCCCAUCUGCUUUGAUGAUGCUUUAAGGACAACACCGUCAAACCCAUACUGGCAGUUUCCAGUCUCCCCCAAUUAAACCAGCACUUUUACUGUGAGACGUGUCCUGCUUAAGGGAUGAGGGUUUUUCCUAUUUGAUUCAUGUAAUUUCAUUUUGGCUUUGAAUUUUUAAACAAGUGUAAUAAAUUGUGACAAAGUGUGGUGUUCA
rnacentral:lncRNA from 1 species